rnacentral:RNase_P_RNA from 1 species
CAAGAUAGCUGGACAGUCGCGCUAUAGCUUGACUAUGGUGAGGAAAGUCCGGGCUUCAGGGGAACAAGACACCGGAUAACGUCCGGCUGGGGUAACCCAAGGGAAAGUGCCACAGAGAUAUACCGCCGAGCUUUCAAGGUCGGUAAGGCUGAAAAGGCGAGGUAAGAGCUCACCGCGAUGAUGGCAACAUCAUUGGUCCAGGUAAACCCUGUCUGAUGCAAGACCAAGUUAGGAGCUUCUAGGUGUGUUUACACAAACCAGAUGACACGGGGUGUUCUCCCUCCGCUCCAGAGGUAGGUUGCGACGAGCUGUUUAGUGAUAAUCAGCCCAGAUGAAUGACUGUCGGUUUGAGUUUGCUCAAAUUACAGAACCCGGCUUAUAGGCUGUCUUGAUUG